CAAAUUUAAAAUCUACCUGGUUUYCAGGUCGAGUUGUAAUUUGAAGAUACGUUUUUGACGUUCCGGGUUGRACUAAAUCCUUUGGGAUAAGGUAUCAUGGAGGGUGAGAAUCCCGUAUAUACCAACCRYAGGGAUGUUAUUUAAUACGUUUCUAAGARUCGAGUUGUUUGGGAAUGCMGCUCUAAAUGGGUGGUAAAUUUCACCUAAUGCUAAAUAUAAGCSAGAGACCSAUAGYGAACAAGUACAGUGAUGGAAAGAUGAAAAGAACUUUGAAAAGAGAGUUAAAUAGUACGUGAAAUUGUUGAAAGGGAAACGAUUGAAGUCAGUCAUGCCRGUGGGAAUCMACUUWGARGAAACUCUGAGUGCACUUCUUCGCUUGGCAGGUCAACGUCGAUUUUGGAUGUCCUAAAAUGAWUGGGGGAARGUAGCUCCUUCGGGAGUGUUAUAGCCCUUGGUAGAUGUGAUGUCUGGGAUCGAGGAUUGCAAUGGAUACCCUUUGGGGCUAGCCGCCUGAUCUCUAAUYUGGUAUUGGGUUACGGAUAGCAUGCUGACCGUGAUCUAAUUAUUGGUAAAAGGGUUGG
rnacentral:rRNA from 1 species